rnacentral:lncRNA from 1 species
CAGAUUUGUUGGGCUUUAAAUUCGUGGAGGGGACAGAAGCUGGAAGAGCAAAUAAGUUGCAUAAGGAGAUCAUGAGAAAAGAAAAACUCCUGAUAAUUGUGGACGAUGUUUGGGAGAGAAUAGAGUUGUCAAAGAUAGGGAUUCCCACCUACAAUGAGCUUCAAAAGUGCAAGUCCAAAGUGCUACUCACCACCAGGAGAUUGAAUGUCUGUAAUGCCAUGAAGUGCCAUGAAAAGAUCGGCCUCAAAGUUCUCUCAGAUCAAGAUUCUUGGACCUUGUUCGUGAGAAAUGCAGGAACAAUUUCUUUUGAGCCCACCUCAUUUGAGAAAGUGGCAAGGAGGGUAGCUUUAGAGUGUAAGGGUCUACCGAUUGCAUUGAUAGCUGUUGCAAGGGCACUCGGAGAUGAGGACCAGGAGGAAUGGAAGAAGGCAGUUGAACGACUAGAGCAGUCGCAAUAUGUCAAUCCUAACCAUGAGGAAGAUGCAUUCCGAUGUAUAAGAUUAAGUUAUAAUUACUUGAAAGAUGGGGAUUCCAAGUCAUGCUUCUUGCUCUGUUGCCUGUUCCCAGAAGACGAUAACAUCAAAAUAGAAGACUUAUUCCGGUACGCGAUCGGAAAAAGAUUGUUUCGAGAUGCCAAAACAAUGGAAGUAGCCAGAGGAAGAUUGGUUACAGUGGUCAAGUACCUGAAAAAUUCUAGCUUGCUUUUGGAUAGUGAGGAAGAAGGAUGUGUUAAGAUGCAUGAUGUCAUCCGGGAUACAGCCAUUCAAAUUGCCGAAUCUGAAGAUUGCCAUCGGUUUUUGGUGGAAGCUGGUCGUGGUUUAAAGGAUUGGGCGCCAUGGGGAUUACAUGAAGGCUGCACUGCAAUUUCACUGAUGAACAACAAAAUUCGCAAGCUACCCAAAGAGAUGGUAUGUCCAAAUCUCCAGAUUUUAUUACUAAACGGGAAUAAGAAACUAAGUGAGAUCCCCCAAAAGUUGAUCCAGAAUCUGAAAAAGUUAAGGGUCUUGGAUCUUAGCAACACUAGUAUUUCCGUAUUACCCCAAUCAUUUAGUCUCCUCACCAACCUCCAAGCUUUGUAUUUAGAUGAUUGCAGCAAAUUAAUUGACAUUUCCGUUGUGGGGAAACUUAACAAGCUUGAAAUUCUUAGUAUGAGAGGUUGUCCCAGGGGGCAAUUGUUCAGAGAAAUAGAACAUUUGACCAAUCUAAGGAUUUUGGAUGUCAAUCGCUCUUGGGCAACGGGUGGUAUGGUUACAAUUCCAUCUAAAGUGAUACCAAUGUUGCAUAAAUUAGAAGAAUUGUACAUGGUGUACUGUGGAUUUGAGGAGGACGUGUGGUGUGUAGCUGAGGGACGAAGAGAAAGAACCAAUAUUAUUAGGUUUGAUGAGUUAGUUGGUUUAUCAAAUUUGAAAAUAUUGCAGGUUGGCUUAUCUGAUGAAAGUUUCAUCCCUAAAAAUGUUGAGGCCGCACCAGAUUGGAAUUACUUUUGUAUAACUAUCUUCGGCAGAUGCACCAGCUCUAUAUACCGCCCCCUCGCUGUAUACGAACAUGGAGAUCGUAAUUCAAGAUCCUUGUUUCUUAAUGGAGCAACCAUCAGUACCUUGCCUGAUUGGUUUAUCAAAGCGGUGACGGAGAAAACAGAGAAGCUUGAGUACAACCGCUGCGGAGGGAUGAGUGACAUUGUUAUGGAAUAUGACCAUGGGAGGUUACAUAAACUCAAGCAUCUCACAGUUGCUGGGCAACAAGACGAGUUGAAAGAGUUGAUGAACACAACAAGACGAGUUGAAACAGGACCCGUGUUUGAGAAUUUGGAAGAGUUGCAUCUGAUAGAUCUGAUCCACCUGGAGGAGUUGUUGGUUGGUGAGUUACCACUUGGGUCUCUCUCAAAUCUCAAGGUGUUUCAUGUAUUUUUUGGUAAGAUUUUAAGGAGUGUCUCAGAAUUUGUACAGAGACUACCAAAUCUGGAGAAACUACAUUUAAACGGUGUGCAUGAAUUGGAAUAUGUGUUUAGAUGCGAAGGGUUCGAGCCAGAACAACCAAAACUGAGAGAGAUGCAUUUGCUGCGUCUAAGAGCACUAAAAAGCGUAUGUAAUGGUCCUGCUCCACAUGCAAUGUUCCAGGGUCUUAAAAUUUUGACCAUUUACCGUUGCGAGCUGCUGCAAAGUCUGUUCGCAUCUGAUGUAGCCCAAUGUCUUGUUCAAUUGGAAGACCUUCUUGUUGAGGAUUGCCCUUUGUUGGAAAGAGUAAUGGAAGCAGUGAACAAGGAGAAGACGGUUCUACCAAAACUGAAGAACUUGGUUUUGAAGAAUCUUCCUAGGUUGUAUGGUGCAGUUGCUGCCGUUGAUAUUCAGUGUCGUUCAUUGGAACACUUGAUGGUGGAGGAUUGCCCCAAGCUUUUAUUUUCAACCUCUUCCGAUCUCUUUGAAGCCUUCAAAAACAGGAUCCAAUUUUCAUUUUCAGCCUCCAUUUCUGACCCAGUCCAACUCGAUGAUCCACAACUAUACCAAACUCUACGUGACAGGUAUUGACGUAUUUACUUAGUUUGUUCUUUUCUUCUGUAUUUUGUAGGGCAGCAAUUGGGCAAAAACUGAUUUGAUCAAUUAAUAUCUGUGAUUCAAUUUUUAUUCUUCCCACUCUUUUAAAACAAUUGAGCUCCCAUGACAGGACAAAACACGAAACACAAUUAAAGUAGCAUUUUUAUUUUCAUUCUUAUUUUUUUUGUUAUCAGUCAUAAUGUGAACAACAAAAAAAAGUCAAAAUUAUGCAGAAUACUUAAAGUUGAUGAUUGUUUCGUUUUCUUUACUCUAGUAAUGCAAGUUACAAACAACAUUAUGGACACUUCUAGAAUGUUACUUUUCUGUUUAAAUCUAUAAUUUUAAUAGUAAUUCUUUUUUUCUUUUCUUUUUUUCCUAUUUUGAUGCAACAGAACAUUGCAAAGUAUCAUGCUCAGCUUCUGACUUCCAUUGCAGGAAGUAACCAAGUUCAACUCUAUUUCUUUGUCCAGGUAUGUUUUGUGAUCAACUGAAUUAUUUUCUUUUCAUUGAAUGGUAGAUUUAUUGUGAUGCCAUAGAAACUAAAAAUGUUAAUUUUUUCUAAGAUAAUGGAGUUCUCAUAAUUCAUUUGCUUUCCCAAUCUUCUGUGUAUUAGUGAUUCAGUGCAACAAGCAAAUUUUAACUUCAAUUUUCUUUUUCGCUCCUAUAUUCUUAUUUUUCUUGUUAUAAUUCGUCGUUAUCAAUCAUUUCUUUUUUCUAAUUUGGAUUUGAUAAUUAAUUGAUGAAAGAUAUUAAAUUUGUGAAAGGAAAACAAUACACCUGCAUUACUUGUUGAAUAUAUAGUGAAUGUACCAUUUACUUCUGUAAGUUUUGAGUUUGUGACUUCAAAUGUGGGUAGAAAGUUACAAGUCCUUCAAUAUUUCUUGUAUUAGAAAGGCGUCCUGACAAAUGGCUUUUGUGCUUGCUUGAUGUGGAUUAUUAUUUACGGAGGGUUCCCCCGUUCCCCUAUCUCUUGAAGCCGAAAAGGGUUCUAAAAGAAACCCCCUCGUCAAAGGACCUCCCCCGCCUGUCGGAGGAAUUUGAGGGCCCGGACCCGGACGUAUUGGAGUUUAUUUCCCCUCUACCAUCAGACACCAUCAUACAGAUAAUGGGCACGUUUGGUAACUAGGAUAAGAUUGAAUUAGGAUAACAGCAAGAUUAGAUUAGGAUAAGAUUAGAUUUAUUUCAAAUCCUUUCAUUUGUUUGGUUAGAAGGAUUAGUACGGGAAUAGAUAUGUGGAAGAAAUAGAUCUCUGGUCAGCAUCCGUCUUCUUCAACACAAUCGAAAGCCCAAUUCGUCAAAUUCUCAAUUCCUCUGCGAACAUAAAUGCCUCAAGCUAAUUAACAGUGGCGGCAAGUAGAUGAGAGCCUCCGUCCCUCUGUCAACUCUAUUACAUGCCCAGAUGAAAUCAUCUACGACUCCUGCAGCUUUCCCAAUCUUCCUCCAAAGUCCUCAGCCUCUCCGCCGGCGCCGUCCACAAGGCUCUCUUUCCCGGCCAGGUCGUCGUCGCUCACAUCACGGUCGUCGAGCUUUUGGGCUUCGAUCUGUACAACUAGCUAUGAUAAAGUGUUUUAUUUCGCGCGGAGACGCAGAGAGGAGGGUCGCGUACUUGCGUCGUCUUUAGAUCCGGCUGGACUUUUUUAUAUCCCACCUUUCUAACAGGUUUUGAUAUCCUGGUCUGACAAGACAUAAUAUCCUGUCCUAGAACAAACUGAACUGCCAAACGCUGGAAUAGAUAUAUUUUUCUCCUAUCCAGUUACUUAACCGGGCAAACAAACACCGCCAAUAAGUAUUAUAUUUUGCCUAUAUAAUUUGAUGAUUGCAUCCGGAGAUUGAUCUGUGCAUUCAAAUUCUGGUUAUCCUUUUGAAACUCAAUCAUCAAUGGUUCCUUUUCCUUUUUUUUUCUUUUCUUUUACCAUUAGGCUUCUAAUAAUUAGACUUUCAUUCUUUGGAGAGUUCGCUAGAUACUUUGUGUUCGUAUGAAGAAUCAGUUUAAUGGGAUUGAUUUGAAGACAUUUUUGGUCACCAGAGAGCAGACACUAGAGUGUCAGUUAGCCUAAAUGGAUAUAUGGUAGAACAGGGAUCAUUUGAACCACUUUUGAAACUGAUGCAAGAUGGUUAGACAGCGUUAAGAAAGUUGAGGUAUCUCUUUUGAUCAAUAACAACAGAAGAUCACAUCAUUCACAUGUUAUGCUAUAGCUGUUAAGGCUAACAAACUAAGAAUCAAGGCAGGUUGACCACUGUUUGCGAUCAAGAGGUUUGAUCUCUUCAAUUUGAAUCUUGAUUUGUAUUUUUCCUUUUGUUUCCAUAGACCUUUGGAAUACAAUCACAGUACACUCACAUGAUAUGAUCUCAUAUCAUAUACCUGUCAUCCUCUAUUAAGGUGCAGAUCCAACAGAAGAUGGAUAUGAUUAACAAGAUUGAAAAUUAGAAGAGUCUUUCUUCAUUUAGAUUUGCUGGAUUCUUCUUGUUUUUAUUUUUAUUUUUAUUUUUAUUUUUAUAGUUCUAUGGGCUUAAAAUGGUCUGUAUAAUAUCAUUUGACCUUCCCAACAAUUCUUGUGAGAUCAAUGUAUUCUCCUUUAUUUUUUACUUAACAACAUUUUCACCUUUUUUCUCUCUCCUUUUUUUCUGCGGUUUUCUUCCGGUUUUAUAAGGGACUGUUUCCAAUGCAUGGAAGGCAAGGAUACAAUUCUGCCAAUUUUUUAUCGUGUGGAUCCCUGUGAUGUAUGAUAUCAGAAGAAUAGUUAUGAAGUGGCGCUUAAGUUGCAUAAGAGCAAGGCAAGACAUGGCAUGGAGAAGGUGAACCCGUGGAGAGCUGAUUUAACAAAAAUGAGAAAUCUCUCUGCUACUGAGAUUGCUGUAUGGAUUUGUAAACUACGUACUACUGUACUAGUAUCAUUUUUACCUCUCCGAAUCACCCUGCAUAUUGUGUGACAAUAUCAGUGCCUCACCUCUUGCUUCAAAAUGGUCCAGCAGCUGUAGCUGUUAACUGUCAGAAGAUGCUGCAGGAUACUGGUGACAGAGGAGCUCUAGAACUGUCGUAACUUUAUAUAUAUUCUAGAUUACCCAUUCAGCUCAAAGUUAGGACAUAUAUAUGCUUAUAGGUCAGGAAAUAUUCUUGUAAAUAAAUUCAGUCUUAGGUGUAAGAGAUGAGUUAGUAAAAUCCAAAAUUUUCAGAGCUUCAAAUUCUCUUUGUUCAUCAAGCAAAUCAUAUCAGAGGGGGGUGUGUUUAUUUGUGUGAUAAUGGGUACGAAAACUAGUUAUUUGGGCUUUUGUGGAUCAAACAUAUAUGAGAAGCCAGGCCCAAACAACUACAUGGGUCGGGCCCGGAGUCUUCUUCAUCCAUUGCCGAAAUGCGGGAACUAUAGAAGUGGCCGCUAGCUCUUGACGCUCCGGUUUCCGCGCGUGGAGAGUACACGCCUGUCAGCUCAAAACUAUCAUCGUCUCCAUUCUCGGAUGAAAAUCAGGAUUGAGUUGCCUGCGUUCUUGUUAAGGUACAAGUGACCUCACUUUGUUUACCAUUCUUGUUCCUUAAUUUACUGUGUUUCUGCAUGUGUGUGUAUAUGAUCAAUUUAUGGGCUCUGUAUUUGAUUUGAGUUAGUUUGAUUGGAGAUCAGUUACUGGUUGCUUAGUUUGUGUUGGAUUUUCUAUCCGACUACAAUUGAUUGGUUGAUACUAGUUUCAUGUACAUCUCAAUGCUGGGUCGUUUUGUGUUACUCUGAUUUUCGAAACAAACAGAAAAACAUCUCAAUGUGCAAUCAGAGAUGGCCGUUUAAUUACAUAUGAUUAUCUUAUUGGCCGGCAGCAAGUUGAGAUAUUAUAACAUCUGGGUUUGGUGUUUUUUCAAGCAAUAGGUUUUAAGUACUUGACAUUUUUGUAUCAUGACAUUUUCACCAUGUGAAACCGAUAAUUAAAAUCACCUUAUUCAGAUAACUAACUCAUUUAAAAUACUUCUGUGGCCAAGUUGUUAGUUAUCUAUGUCAUGGUUGUUAACAACUUUCUUUUGGGUUAAAUAAUUUUCACAAGCUUUUGCCUUUCGUGGGUUCCAAUGAGGCAAUGACCUGCAAUAGGAGACAUUAUUGGAUCUCUUGUUGUUUCCAGUCACAGUCUCACAUUCAGUCUUCUUCGUCUCCUCCCUUCAUUGCUUCUGUCUGGAAAUCAGUUGCUGGUUUUCAAUGGCCUCCUCCUCUUCAUCAUCGUCAACUCGCAGCUGGAAGUAUGAUGUCUUUUUGAGUUUCAGGGGUCCUGACACUCGCAAAGGGAUUACAGCCCAAAUACGCGAUCGACUUCGUAGAAGUGGCAUUAUAACGUUCAUGGAUGAACCAGAUCUUAGAGUAGGGGAUACCAUUUCGCCCACUCUCAUAAAGGCAAUUAAAGAGUCGAGGUUUGCAAUCGUAAUUCUCUCGCAAAAUUAUGCUUCUUCUACUUGGUGUUUGGAGGAACUUAGAGAGAUUUGUCUGUCCAUGGAAGACAACAGAAUUUUGCCACUUUUUUUUGAAGUUGAUCCUACUGAUGUUCGACAUCAGAAGAAGAGUUUCGAAGAAGCUUUCUCUAAGCAUGAAACCUCUGGCCGACAUGAAUCAGACAAGUUGAAUCAAUGGAGGGCUGCCAUAAGCAAAGUGGCCAAUAUCUCAGGGUGGAACACAAAUGAUUAUAAGUAAGCAUUGUGCCUUCAAUUUCAAUUCUAUUAAUUUUAUCAAUUAAUAUCUGUGAUUCAAUUUUUAUUCUUCCCACUCUUUUAAAACAAUUGAGCUCCCAAGACAGGACAAAACACACGAAACACAAUUAAAAUGACAUUUUUAUUUUCAUUAUUAUUUUUCUUUGUUAUCGGUCAUAAUGUAAACAACAACAACAAAAAUCAAAAUUAUGCAGAAUACGUAAAGUUGAUGAUUGUUUCAUUUUCUUUACUUUAGUAAUGCAAGUUACAAACAACAUUAUGGACACUCCUCCUAGAAUGUUGCUUUUCUGUUUAAAUCUAUAAUUUUAAUAGUAAUUCUUUUUUUCUUUUUCUUUUUUUGAUGCAACAGAACAUCUGGUUUACAAUCGUGAAGUCUCUAGCUCUGCUUCUGACUUCCAUUGCAAGAAGUAAUCUAUAUAUUUUACCUAACACUUAAGUUUUAAUCCUUAUAACUCUUUAAUUCUUCCUUGUAGGACUCACGAAGAACUUGUUGACAAGAUUGUGGAAUCUCUCCGCAGUGAAGUACCACCAGAUGCAAUUGAAUUCACAGAUGAUUUCCAAGCAUUUGGAGCAACAAAAGAAGCGACAGACAAGGUUAUGAAGGCGCUAACAGAUGACAAGAUUACUGCCGUUGGUGUCUAUGGCAUGGGCGGCGUUGGAAAGACAAGCAUGGUGAGACAUGUAGCUGCACAAGCCUGCAGAAAUGGUACUUUUAACCACUGGAUUAUGGCUGUCGUAUCCCAAAACCUUGACUUGGAAAAAGUUCAAGGUACAUUGGCAGAUUUGUUGGGCUUUAAAUUCGUCGAGGAGACAGAAGCUGGAAGAGCAAAUAAGUUGCAUAAGGAGAUCAUGAGAAAAGAAAAACUCCUGAUAAUUGUGGACGAUGUUUGGGAGAGAACAGAGUUGUCAAAGAUAGGGAUUCCCACCUACAAUGAGCUUCAAAAGUGCAAGUCCAAAGUGCUACUCACCACCAGGAGAUUGAAUGUCUGUAAUGCCAUGAAGUGCCAUGAAAAGAUCAGCCUCAAAGUUCUCUCAGAUCAAGAUUCUUGGACCUUGUUCGUGAGAAAUGCAGGAACAAUUUCUUUUGAGCCCACCUCAUUUGAGAAAGUGGCAAGGAGGGUAGCUUUAGAGUGUAAGGGUCUACCGAUUGCAUUGAUAGCUGUUGCAAGGGCACUCGGAGAUGAGGACCAGGAGGAAUGGGAGAAGGCAGCUAACAGCCUAGAGCAGUCGCAAUAUGUCAAUCCCAACCAUGAGGAAGAUGAGGAAAAUGCGUUCAGUUGUAUACGAUUAAGCUAUGAUUACUUGAAAAAUGACGACCACAAGUCAUGCUUCUUGCUCUGUUGCCUGUUCCCAGAAGACCAUGCCAUCUACAUAGAAGACUUGUUCCGGUACGCGAUCGGAAAAAGAUUGUUUCGAGAUGCGAAAACAAUGGAAGUAGCCAGAGGAAGAUUAGUUACAGUGGUCAAGUACCUGAAAAAUUCUAGCUUGCUUUUGGAUAGUGAGGAAAAAGGAUGUGUAAAGAUGCAUGAUGUCAUCCGGGAUACAGCCAUUCAAAUUGCCAAAUCUGAAGAUUGCCAUCGGUUUUUGGUGGAAGCUGGUCGUGGUUUAAAGGAUUGGGCUCCACGGGUAUUGCAUGAAGGCUGCACUGCAAUUUCACUGAUGAACAACAAAAUUCGCAAGCUACCUGAAGAAGAGUUGGUAUGUCCAAAUCUCCAGAUUUUAUUACUAAACGGGAAUGCUGUACUAAGUGAGAUCCCCGAAAAGUUCAUCCUGAAUCUGAAAGAGUUAAGGGUCUUGGAUCUUAGUUACACUGAUAUUUCUGUAUUACCCCAAUCAUUUAGUCUCCUCACCAACCUCCAAGCUUUGUAUUUAAAUGGUUGCGACAAAUUGAUUGACAUUUCUGUUGUGGGGAAACUUAAGAAGCUUGAAAUUCUUAGUAUCAGAGACUGUUCCAUGGGGAAAUUGUCAAGAGAAAUAGGACAUUUGACCAAUCUAAGGAUUUUGGACGUCAAUUCCUCUGCGAUACGAUUCAUAAUUAGAAGAGGACGGCUGAUGUGCACAUUUCCCUUUACAAUUCCAUCUAAAGUGAUACCAAAGUUGCAUGAAUUAGAAGAAUUAUACAUGGUGUACUGUGGCUUUGAGGAGAACGGGUGGUGUGUAGCUGAGGGACCAACAGAAACAACCAAUAUUAUUAGGUUUGAUGAGUUAGCUGGUUUAUCAAAUUUGAAAAUAUUGCAGGUUGGCUUAUCCGAUGAAAGUUUCAUCCCUAAAAAUGUUGAGGUCGCACCAGAUUGGGAUUACUUUUGUAUAACUAUCAACGGCAGAUACCCCAACUCUGUAUACGAACAAGGAGAUCAUAAUUCAAGAUCCUUGUUUCUUAAUGGAGCAACCAUCAGUACCUUGCCUGAUUGGUUUAUCAAAGCGGUGACAGAGAAAACAGAGAAGCUAGAGUACAACCGUUGCGGAGGGAUGAGUGACAUUGUUAUGGAAUAUGACCAUGGCAGGUUACAUAAACUCAAGCAUCUCACAGUUGCUGGGUGUGCUCGUGAUUCUUCUUAUGUGUACUUGAAAGAGUUGGUGAACACAACAAGACGAGUUGAAACCGGACCCGUGUUUGAGAAUUUGGAAGAGUUGCAUCUGAAAUUUCUGAAGCACCUGGAGGAGUUGUGUGUUGGUGAGUUACCACCUGGGUCUCUCUCAAAUCUCAAGGUGUUUCAUGUGUUUUCGUGUACGAUUUUGAGGAGUGUAUCAGAAUUUGUACAGAGACUACCAAAUCUGGAGAAACUAGAUUUAAACUAUAUGGUCAAAUUGGAAUAUGUGUUUAGAUACGAAGGGUUCGAGCCAGAACAAUCAAAACUGAGGGAGAUGCAUUUGUUGCGUCUAGAAGCACUAAGAAGCAUAUGUAAUGGUCCCGCUCCACAUGCAAUGUUCCAGAGUCUUAAAAUUUUGACCAUUGACCGUUGCCUGCUGCUGCAAAGUCUGUUCGCAUCUGAUGUAGCGGACUGUCUUGUUCAAUUGGAAGAACUUCUUGUAGUGGAUUGCCCUUUGUUGGAAAGAGUAAUGGAAGCAGUGACCAAGGCGAAGACGGUUCUACCAAAACUGAAGAACUUGGGUUUGAUGAAUCUUCCUAUGUUGUAUGGUCCAAUUGCUGCCGUUGAUAUUGAGUGUCCUUCAUUGGAACACUUGAUGGUGGAGGAUUGCCCCAAGCUUUUAUUUUCAACUUUUUCCGAUCUCUUCAAAGCCUUCAAAAGCAGGAACCAAUUUUCAUUUUCAGCCUCGGCGUGUCAGGUAUUGACGUAUUUACUUUGUUUGUUCUUUUCUUCUGUAUUUUGUAGGGCAGCAAUUGGGCAAAAACUGAUUUGAUUCAGUUUUUAUUCUUCCCACGACAAGACAGAACACCACGAAGCACAAUUAAAAUAACAUUUUUAUUUUCAAUCUUAUUUUUCUUUGUUAUCAGUCAUAAUGUGAACAACAACAACAAAAGUCAAAAUUAUGCAGAAUGCUUAAAGUUGAUGAUUGUUUUGUUUUCUUUACUCUAAUAAUGCAAGUUACAAACAACAUUAUGGACACUCUUAGAAUGUUACUUUUCUGUUUAAAUCUAUAAUUUUAAUAGUCUUUUUUAUUUUUUGUCCUAUUUUGAUGCAACAGAACAUCUAGGUUCCAAUUGCGAAAUCCCAAGUUCAGCUUCUGACUUCCAUUGCAGGAAGUAACCAAGUUCAACUCUAUUUCUUUGUCUAGGUAUGCAAUGUGAUCAACUGAAUUAUUUUCUUUUCAUUGAAUGGUAGAUUUCUUGUGAUGCCACAUAUAUAAACUAAAAAUGUUACUUUUUUCUAAGAUAAUGGAGUUCUCAUAAUUCAUUUGCUUUCCCAAUCUUCUGUGUAUUAGUGAUUCAGUGCAACAAACAAAUUUUAACUUCAGUUUUCUUUUCCGCUCCUAUAUUCUUAUUUUUCUUUUUAUAAUUCGUCGUGAUCAAUCAUUUCUUUUUUCUAAUUUUGAUAAGUAAUUGAUGAAAGAUAUUAAAUUUGUGAAAGAAAAACAAUGUCACACUGAAAACUUUGUACCAAUGAGGAUUGUUUUGUUUUCACUACUUGCUAAUACAAAUUACUGAUUUACUGGUAUAAGAAAAUGUCUGGUUUGAAACAAAUUUCAAUCAUGAUGAUUGCAUACAUCAUGUUUUAGUCAAUUCAUUCAGUCCUCAUAUAUGUUAAAAUAAUGACUUAUUUGACUUGAAGGUUGUAAAUGGACAAGUAUACUCUGCAUAUGAAGCAGAAAUUCGUGAUUUAUGAAUGGGUACACUAUUUAACACACAGUAGUACACACACACACACACAACAAAAAUGAUGAUGAUGAUAAAUUAAGUUACAACUCAUACCCCCAUUGCUCUCUUUCACUCUUUGUUAUUGAGUUUAUCUAGUGUAUAGAAAAUAGAGUUAACAAAAGACUAGCAUCUACGAAAUGAGAACCUAAAUAUUGUUACCAAAUUCGAGUUUCCUUUGAUGCAGCAUAUUAAGCCUAGAACAAUACACACACUAUGCAUCACAGUACGUACCACUCUCCAGCUCCAACAGAAAAUCUUCAGAAAGUAUUACCACUGAAACCGGCAAAAUAAGCUUACACAGAGUUUGCAAGAGCAGCCCUGCUAUUACAACACAAUACAGUAGUGGAAAUUACAGCUAACUAUACAUAUCCAAUCUAAAUUAAUUGAUUAACACUAUUGUGAGGUGUGAACUAGAAACUAACGGUCACAUUGCCGAAAAAAAUGAACCCUUCUGUGGAGGAUCACUCGCCGGUGUUGUUGGAUGGCUUCUGUUAAGAAUUUGGCACUAGCCGACCAUUGUACAUCUUCUCAAGUAGCUGCUUUGCAUCAGGCCUCCUGAGAAGAUCUUUGUUGUUUGGUACACCAGUCCCUAAACAUACGGGGCAAACGAGUUUCCCAAGACCUGACAACAAGAAGAACCGAUCACUCAUCAAAGAAAAUGAGUAUCCAUUGCAAUAGGAUACCACACAACAGAAUGUUGAUAUGGGAGGGAAAACAACGACUCCAAUUUCACAACUAUCUGCUAUGGUUUAUGACGAUUCUUGUUUUUUAUUUUUUAUUUACUUGAUUCAGUGUCUGAUGACUGCAAAUGCAACAAAACUGUGAUAGUGUAUCGAUGUUUAUUAAUAUGGAACAAAAACAGAAAUAUGAGUCUCAAUGGGAAUUCAUACCAUAACAAUUUGGACAUUCUGUAAACUCAUACACAUCUUUAGCUCGUUUUCUGUUGAGAGAUUUCCAUUUUCCCGUACCACCACACAUAUCACCUGAAUAAAAAGCAAAAGAACAACUCAGCGACAAGCGUAUAUCGUAUACCACAUGUAAACAGUACAUCUAAACUACAAGGGAAAAGAUCAACAGAAAACGAGGCAUAAUUAAAGGAGAAGAAGCACUGUGUGUCUCUCCUAACAAAGCCAAAGCAAAAACUUUGAGGCAUAAUUAAAGCAUCUCAAUUAUUUAUAUCUAACCAGGACAACUAUAUUUGAGAUGAAGAUAACGAACACCAGGAAACCUAUUACCAACAAAGAAAACAGGGACUCGUAUAUGAAAUGAUUAUGAGAAGUGAGCUGGUACAGUAUUUGUAUUCUGCAUUACGUUUCGUAUCAAACAGACAAUUACAAUGCAGCGUGCAAUUAUAGCCUAGUGUUCAUGAUCUUAGACACCUAAAGCAAGUAAAAUGCAGUUAGCACGGUGCUCGUGAUGCACAGUUCCAAGAGUGAUCCAUCAAUUGGAAGGUAUGUUAGAUUUGGUCACAGUAGGUAAACAGCAUACUAUACAGCAAAGAAAUCAUAACAUAUCAUAGUUCUAUAUAAGGACUCAUGAAGCAGAAAAUGCACAUGUUUUGAAGUUGGAUUUUCAGGAAAACCCUUAACAUAACUGCAAAUUCAAUUUGAAGUUUAUCUAUCUCUUAUAAGCUUCAAGUUUUAUCUGGAUGGAUAAUAACUCACCGGUUGAAGGCAGGGAUCAAAACUAGACCCAUGAGAUUCAAGGAAACCAUUAUGCACAAGUUAUUGAUACGCCUUCAUCGUAAAACUCUGAAUUGGAUUUACUACAUGAACCCCGAAGCUCCCCAUCCCUGUGUACUUGACACUUGCAAUACCAUAUUCAAACUCAAAGUUAAAAAGAAAGCUAUUGGAACAUGGCGUUAAGCCAGUGCCAGCCUCGCUGAGCCGUCUUAUUGUUGUAUUGGAUGGAAUAUAGUGCAACCACACAUUACCACACAACUUCCACCAAUGGUGGUCUUCUUCCAGCCCUUGAAUGAUGCACACACCAUUAAUGUAGAUUGUACGUAAUCUGAGAAAUGAAACCCUGUAGUAGCAUACAUCAGUCUGAUGAUGAACAUAGAAUGCCAGUCCUCCUUUGCUUUCCCAUAAUUUGAAAUUUCCAGGAAUGUCAAUUUUGAACUUGUAUACUUCGACUCCUUUCCCAUAGUAUAUACCCUUAGGCUGGGGCAACCUCUGAAAGCUCAUACGACAGGUGAACCAGUCUGGAAUUUCACUUGCUGCAGGAAAGCAAUCCUGGAAACUAGAUUGCCAGCAUGAAAGAAACAGAGACAGCAGAGCUGAGACCUCUGAAUUAUCCCCCGGUAAAGUAUUCUCUUUCUUCAUCUUUGCCAAGUAAUCAAUGGCCAGAUUGCGGCACAGCGUAUGCAAAGAUGCAACUCCAUCCAGGGGAUCAUUUUUGACUCUCUGCCUUCCACAAUGUUUGACAGACUUGAAAUUGUUCUCAACAAGACGCAACCCCUUGUGUCUAAGGACUCUAAGCCAUCUAUUUCUCACAGGAACUCUAAAAUUUCCACUAGAUUCCAGCACUCUGUCAAAUUGAUGAACUCUUGAGAAUCAUAGCGUAACUUUAUUGUCUUUAACUCACACUUGGUUGGAAAUGUAGCCAGAUUGUAACAAUUGGUCAAGGUGCUUCAGAUGUUGUAACUCAAGAAUGCUGCAGGGAACAGUUGUUACGCUACAGCAGUUUGUCACAACGUAGCUCUUCAAGAUUAAUGAGAAAUCUAAUUGAUGAAGGAAAUCCUUUGAUGCCAGUACGCCCUAGGUCCAGGCUUUUCAAGGAUCUCAUCUCUUCGACAAUUUCAAACUUCUGAAGUUUCUCACAGCCACUGAGGUUCAGGUUGACCAGAUUCUUAGCAUUUCCAACCUCAACUUCAACUAAAUUUGUACAAUGACUUAGAUUCAAGUCCACUAAAUUCGGGAACAUAGACAAGCCACUGAUCUUUCUUACACCAUAAGAAUUUGACAUGUCGAUAGAUUUCAAAUUCUGCAUAAUCUGCAUAUGUGAAAAUAUUAGAAAGAAAUUAUAAUGUCAUUUUAAUCAAACAGCAUUAGACCAUUAAUAGUAAAAAUUACCUUCGGUGCCUCCCCCAAAGGUGAUGUUUGGCGGCUAUGAUGCAUCCUUAGUACAACAAGUUUCUUGGGAUAAAAACUAGGCGGAAACGACAGUAAUGGACAAUAAUCCCAAACUAGGAGCCUCAAUUCGUUGGAGAGAUAAUUUAUAUGAUCUCCAGUGAAGGAGCCUCCAGUGUAAAAAUCACGAGGGCUUACAAAGAUUUGAAGAUUUUUCAUCUUUGAGAAGCUAUCAGUGUUCAGAUGUAUCUUUUCUCCCCUGCAAUUCAGGUCAUUGAGCAUGAUGCCUCGAACUUUAUCCGAUCCCUACAACCAAAAAACAAAAAUAUUGUUAAAAGCUCAAUGUGUCUCAUAGAAUUUCACAUAUAUUCUCAGUUCUGUAUUGUACAUAGAAGACGGUCUUCAACUAUUGAUAUGGGAUAUAUCACUUACUGUGUUUUCCAUAAAAACUCGGUAAACAUCCUCAUAUAGCCAUAAUCUGCUACGCUCUCCAGGCUCAGUAGGAGACUCUUGACAAACUAUUUCUUUCCCCAUUUUCUCUAGCAGAUCAUGCAUCAAAAUGCAAUUCUUUUCAUUGAUGCUUAUGAGGGCCUUUUCUGUGAGUGCUUCAAUACCAUAUUCAGGAUUGAGAUCGCAUCCUCUUAGAAUAUCUAUCACGUAGUUCUUAGCUUUUCCGUUAAAGAAACAUGCAAUGUGAAGAAAAAUCUCUUUUGUCAAACCAUCCAGUGCAUCAUAGCUUCUUCUGAGGAUUUCUUGAAUCUCUUUCUUUGGUUCUGUUGCAUAACCAUCUAAUGCAACUUUCCAUUGAUCUACAUUUCUACCACGGAGAUGUGAACCCAAAACUACCAAUGCUAAGGGAAGCCCUUGAGCAUAAAGAGUUAGAUUAUCAAUGAGUUCAACAUAGUCAUCCAUAUUUUGGUUUUUUUUAAAGGCAUAUAACUUGAAGAGCUCUAAAGCUUCAUGAUGACUCAACUUCUCCAUUUUGUAUAUAUAAUUGACAUCAUGAGCAGUAAGCUGACCCUUAUCUCUUGUUGUGAUGAUUAUUCUACUACCUGAACCAAACCAAUCAGACUUUCCGACUAAUUUAUCUAACUGGUUGAAAUCAUUCACAUCAUCAAGAAUUAAGAGAACCUUUUUAUGGCACAACCUUUCUUUUAUGAGAGUGAUCCCUUCAUCAACACUAGUAAUCCUUAAUUCUUUCUCCUUGAGAAACUUAGAAAGAAGAGAAAUUUGCAAUUCAACUAGGCCUCCAUAUCUGAUUGAUCUCUCUCUAACAUUUUCCAGAAAACAGCUACCUUCAAAGUUAUGAGCAAUUGAAUUAUACACACCUUUAGCAAUCGUUGUCUUUCCGAUUCCACCAAUUCCCCAUAUCCCCACCAUGCGGACAUCAUCUUCUCCAACACAUAGAAGCUUAAGCACAUCCUCCACACGAGGCUCUAUUCCAACAGGGUAUUUUGCCACGCUUAACUGAAGGCGAUCUAAUAGUUGUGCUGAUAUCCGUUCCACGAUUGUAUCGAUGAAUGUAGAUUCAUGACUGCCAAUGAGAAGCACUUGAUUAUUGGUUCAAAAAAGUAUAGCAGAUAUUAUGAGUUUAGCUUACAAAGAAGACUACAGCUACCAUGCAAGCAGAGCUGUUCUUGUACAAGUACCUUCCAUUAAUGAAAUGCAGGCCAGAGAGAUUUGAUGCUUUAGUAAGAGCUUCUCUCCAUCUCAUGACUUUCUCCGAGUUGUCUUUUAAUCUGCUUUCGUGGUGAGCUAGUGCUAGGCCAAAACCACCUCUUUGAUGUCGUACAUCCGAUGGAUCUACCUUGUAAAAAACAGGGUAAACCAGUUGUUGCUUUGAUUCUUUACAGUCAAGAAUGCUGACAAGUUCUUCCAAGCACCACCCAGAGGAAGCAUAAUUCUCCGAGAAGAUGACGAUAGAAAUUCUGGAUUCUUGAAUUGCUUUUUGAAGGGCAGGUGAUAUCUCAUCUCCUGUGCCAAGUCCUUCAUUGUCAAUGAAGGUUUUGAUUCCUUUUUGGUCCAAAUUUCUGCACAGAUGGCUUACAAUAUUGUUGCGUGUAUCCACACCUCUAAAACUGAGAAAGACAUCAUAUGUCCAUGAGUGAUGAUCAUGAAUGGGAGAAGAAGAAGAAGAGGAGGAACAGCAAGAUGCUCUGCCUUGUUUCUUGCCAAGAACUGAGCGGAGAUGGAAUCCAUAUUGUUUGAAAAAAUUAGCAUGCUGGGGAUACUUGAUAACCGAAGCUGAUUGAAUGAUGAGUUUGUUAAAUGAGGGGUUAUUGAAUCGGCUGUGAUUUGGUUUGAACUUAAAUUGAGAGGAUAUGAUCAAUGCUUGGGAGGACAACAUGAUCUAUCUUCGAUCGGGCUGAGAAGUUGACCAACUAUAUAGUUGAGGGUGCAUGUGAGUUGGGGGUGCAUGUAAUUGCCUAGUAAUACUAAUACCAAUAGAUCCUCUCACAUUUGACCAUUUCAACCAGUUGAAAGGCCCACUACUCUUUUUUGUUUUGUUUUUUUUAGUAUGAAAGGCCAACUAACCAACUAAUUAAUGAGGUUUUUACAAUUAUAUUAUUAUAAUUACCACUAGCAGACUCCUACCUAGUCUUUCUCAGGCACAAGCAAAACUAACAAGGAUCGAUACCCAUCAAAGAAAAUGAGUAUCCAUAGCAGAAGAAUACAACACAACAGAAUGUUGAUAUGGGAAGGGAAAAGCAAGGGCUCCAAAACUCCACAUUUAUAACAACUCAUACGUCUGACCAUCAUAAUUUCUGUAUUAUUUCCUCUAAGAGUUCACAUUUAUAACAACUCAUACGUCUGACUAUCAUACUUCCGUAUUAUUUUCUUUAAUCCUGACAGUUCAUGUAUGUACAAUGUAUGUGAAGAUACACUUCGUGUAUUAGAGAUGUUCUCUAUGGUUUAUGACGAGUCUAUUUUUUUAGUUUCUAAUGACGAAAGUUGCAACAAAACUGUAAUAGUGUGUCGAUGUUUUUUGCAGGAUAUAUGGAACACAAACAGAAAUAUGAGUAUCAAUGGGAACUCGUACCGUAACAAUUUGGACAUUCUGUAAACUCAUACACAUCUUUAGCUCGUUUUCUGUUGAGAGCUUUCUAUUUUCCCGUACCACCACACAUAUCACCUGAAUAAAAAGUAAAUGAACAACUCAGCAACAAGGGUAUACCGUAUACCACAUGUAAACAGUACAUCUAAACUGCAAGGGGAAAGGAUACCCAAAUAAUGUAUGCAUCAAGGUUUAGUUGAGUCAUACAGGAGAAGAAGCACUGUGUUUCUCCCCUAACAAGCCAAAGCACAAACUUUGAGGCAUAAUCUAUAGCAUCUCAAUUAGUUGAGUCUAACCAGAACAACUACUAUUUGAGAUGAAAAUAAGCAUUUAAGAACACCAGGAACCAAUUACCAACAAAGUUAAGAGGAACUCAUACAUAAAGUGAUUAUGGCCAAUGAAAAACUUAAGAGUUCGUUUUCUAGCUGAACCUUCAAACCAAUAUAAUCUAUACAUCAUUCUGAGAAGAAAAGAAAAAAAAAAUAAUAAUCUAUACAUAACUUAUCUGCACACGCAGAUAUUUGGCUAGAAAUACAAUACCACAGGAAUUAUAAAAUCGGGAUCAUUUCCAAGUUCCAACCAUGAAUAACAAAACGCAACAUCUAUACUUACAAAGCACAGCUCCACAAUUUUGGCAGACUGGUGGUCUGUGUUUUCCAUCCAGUGCAACUGCCUUUAGAGAGUUGCUUAUCAAACCACCAGCUAACAUAGACAAGUGAGACACAAUCGUCAAGAGAUUAAGACCUCAGAUCUUUAAUGUUAAAACAUAUCCAUGGUAAUUUACAGUAUUGUUUUUUUUUUCUAUAAAAACUUAAACGGUAUUUUUUUUCCCGACUAACGGUAUUGGUUUUGAAAGCCUCCAACACCAAUCAGACAAUUCAAACUAACAUUACAAUAUAUAUAAAUAUAUAAACAAUUAGGUUGAAAGGGCCACCAAGUUUCAAACCAGGAGAUAGUUUCUAUCGACUUAAAAAUCCUAUCUAACUGAAACAUUCCAUCAGAAGAUAUCAAAGCAAUGUUAAUGCCCAUAACACAGGAGAUUCAAUAGAAAGACUCUAUCUUGUCUUGAACGAAAUACUAUAUCCAUGAUUCAAGACACAGAGAUAAUGAACUUGAUCUACACAGCCCAUAAAACAGAAGAUAUUGAACAAAGCAAUAGUGUCAUUACCAACAUGCAUCAGGCUACAUGAAAGAAAUAACAAGCAUCAAGCCAACACAUACCCUUUCUCUCAUGCCAUUUUUUGUUAGAAACUAUAGUAAUCGCUUAUGAUCAAGAAGAUAGCUGACAGAAAAAAGAUCAAUACAUUCGAUGGUUUAGCCCGAAUCCCCAGGACUGCCACUCUCGUUGUCAAGAUUUGGAUCUUACAUGAAACCCAACUGACUUUGAGUUCACUGCCAAAUUUCACACAUGCAAAUGAUAGUUAAAACCAUUGCCUAAUCAACAAUAAAAUCUCUACAUAUGUUCUACUGUAUUCAUGCUUUUAUAGAUACAUACAACUAAAGAAACAGAAAAAACGAGAUGAGAGUAUUUGAAAGGAAAUGACCGGUUUCAGUUUCAGAGUGAGAAACAAGACUCACAGUGGGCUGGUGAAAAUUGCGGCAAGAGAUGAGAUGAAGAAGAAGAAGCCACACCACCUCUCUUUCUAAAUUAAGCGAAUUGGGCUUUUAGCAGGUUAGGCGGUUACAAUACACGUCAUGGCGGUCGGGCCGUGAUGGGCCUACACAGAUUGGGGAUCCACCUAACAAAGUCCAAAUUUCCGAAAAAAAAAGGAAACAAAUCAAUUUUAGUUGGGCUUUUAGCGGGCUUGGCGUAGAUAGUACAUGUCAUGGCGGUCGGGCCGUGGUGGGCCAACAUGGACAAGGGUCCAACAUUUUAAAUAAAAAAGAACGACGAGUCGUAGCUCGCCGUCUUCAACGACGGAUUGAGAGCAGUCCACGACGACCCAGCCGGGUACCAUCUUAAACUUGGUUGCCGAUUAAGCUGGGAAGUACUCUAAGCAUUUGGAUUAGUUACAACACAUACCCCUUUGCUCUCUUUCACUCUGUUAUAGAAACAGAGUUUACAAAAGACUGGCAUCUACGAAAUGAGAUCGUAGAUAUUGUUACCAAAUUCGAGUUUCAAUUGAUGCAGCCUAGAACAAUACAAACACCAUGCAUCGCAGUACGUACCACUCUCUAGCUCCAAAAGAAAAACUUUAGAAUUCAAAAAGGAUUAUCACUCAAACCGGAAAAAUUUACCAUAUUACUAAAGGAUGGCCAUAGUGUUUUUACUGUUCACUAAUGACAAUAAAAAGACGGUUAUGCCCUCCUUUGUACGGUGAAAUUACGGAUUUGCCUUUUUUUUUUUGUCGUGUCUCUUAAACUUUUCUUCUGAUCUCUCUCGAUCACUCUCACUCCAUAAAGUAUACACUGCGUCAAGGUGCAGACACUAAUUCUAGUAUGCUUACAGAAUUUGCAAUAAACAGUAGUGGAACUUACAGCUAGCUACUCAGCCUCGAGGGUCCCACCUUUAAGAGGGAGAAUAGCAAAGUCAACGAACUUGAAAUUUGUAUUUGCUUGGGCCCAAGAGGGAUAGGCAGAACCCGAUCACGUCAUGGCAGUUGCCAGGAAAGUGGGCCUACCGGGGCUGGAGGGUCUCACCUUUAAAAAUAGAAAUAAAAAAAUGUAAAAAUUAAAAAUAAAAAGAUGUUUGACCUCUCUCUCUCUCUCAGACCGGUUGUGUUUUCAGUUUCAUUUUUGUUCCAGUUUUUCGACCGCCAAGUUCUAUUGUUUGUUUCAAUUAUCAAAGGAGGCGCCUUUCUCGCCUUUCUCGCCUUUCAUAGAGUUGACUAGAACCAAAAUGUAAUGAAUUUUUGACUUUUUCUUCUUUACUGAGUCUGUUAAUGGAAUUGUUACUGGGUUCUCUCGGUUUUGUGAUAUUUUGAGCUGUGAGAUUGUUUGUAUGAACUUGGAUAGUUUAGUAUUGAGCUCCAUAGGAAUCAUUGAAAUAUGAUAGAGUUGACUCCGGUUGAGAUAGAUUGCUUGGUUUGAGCUGAAUUAUAGGCCAAAAAUUUGGAAUGUUUUUCUAAAUUUGAAGCAGAUGAAGUUUGUAUUAGUAAUUUAUAAUGUGUGGUUUGUAUUGGGUGCAUUUUGUAGAUGGCUUGAUGGGAUGAGAUUCUGUCGAGUUUUUUUUUUUUUGCUGAAACUAGGCUUUUACUGAUGUGCAUGACUAGUCACCUCACUCAGUUUUGUUAUUUUAUCAGUACAUCAUUAUCUCGGUGGGGAUUGCGAAAUGGUGGAGCACAUACCUGAAGAUGUGCUAGUGAAGAUCUUCCAGAGGUUGCCCGUCACAUCUGUUUCGAAGCGCUGGCGCUUCAUCAUUCUCCGAGACCCUCAUUUCGCCGCAGCCCAUUACCAAAUCGCUUCCCACAACAAAACGCUCAGUCACAGUGUCUGCUUCCGUUUCUACCGCGACAGUUACUACCCAUUCAGAUCUAAAUUGAAGUCGUCUUCUUCUCCGGUUGAAGAAACCUUUGCUGCCCGUUCAAGAAACCUCACAGCGUGGUUUACGUGUGCCGUUCUUGUCGUGGUAUGGCGUUUGCAGUUUUUCAUGGUAAGCAGAAGAUAGAGUGGUAUAUAUGGAACCCAUCAACUGGACUCUCCCAGAAACUACCUGAUCUUGGUGGUCCAAAUGAGUUUCUGAACUUUACUGGUUUCGGCUACGUCUCCGCCACCAACGACUGCAAGAUUCUCAUCGCCAACUCUAGCCUUAAGGAGGGAGAGCAAGCCAAGAUCCACAUCUUCUUGUCGCAAUCCAAAUCAUGGAGAAGGAUUCAAGAUUUUCCAUACUCGAACUUGUCAAUGACAAUGGCGGGGAUUCUUUGUCACGAGGCACUUCAUUGGCUGAGGUUCGAUGUUAUAGUUGCUUUUGAUUUAGCAAAUGAGGAGUUUCGGACAAUGCCACUGCCUGCCAUUAGGGAGGAGUAUGGAGGUGCCUAUUUCAGAAAUGUAGGGGACUUCUGAGGUUUUCUGUGUGUGAUUGGUCUGGCGAAUGUUACUACUAUGGAUUUGUGCGUGAUGAAUGAAUAUGAUAAGGGUAACUCCUGGACUAAGCUGUUUAACUUGAGGAUUGCCGAUCCUGAUGAGCAGAUACGUUAUAUCCAGCCAAUCUUGGUUACAGAAACUUGUACAUUUCUGGAGACACAAACUGCAUCAGGAAGCAGGCCGAAGCUGGUGAGGAGUUAUCAUAAGGAAGAGAAGAUUGAAGAGGUUCAUGUGAGGGCCGGAGUGAUUGGAUAUGAAGAGAGUCUACUUUGGCUUGAGUAAUUCGUUACUCUCUGCAUCCAAAUUCUGGUUAGUUGCUCCUCAUUUCCACUCUGUUCAAUGUAUUUUUGUUUCUUUUCUCAUUGCUACUUAUUUACUUGUUGAAUGUAUGUAACUUUUGAGUUUGUGACUUCAAAUAUGGAUAGAAAGUUACAAGUCCUUCAAAAUUUCUUGCAUUAGAAAGGUGUCCUGACAAAUGGCUUUUGUGCUUGCUUGAUAUUAUACCAUCUUACAGAUAAUAAGUAUUAACUUUGCCUAUAUAAUUUGAUGAUUGCACCCGGAGAUUGAUCUGUGCAUUCAGAUUCUGGUUAUCCUUUUGAAACUCAAACAUCAAUGGUUCCUUUUUUUUUUUUUGUAUAUUUUUUCUUUUACCAUUAGGCCUCUAAUAAUUAGACUUUCAUUAUUUGGAGAGAUCGCUAGAUACUUUGGGUUAGUAUGAGGAAUCAAUUAUUGGGAUUGAUUUGAAGACAUUUGUGGUCACCAUAGAGCAGACACUAAACUGUCAGUUAGCCUAAGCGGAUAUAUGGUAGAACAGGGAUCAUUUGAACCAAUUUUGAAACUGAUGAAAGAUGGUUAGACACACAUCAUUAAGAAAGUUGAGGUAUCUCUUCUGAUCAUUAGCAACAGAAGAUCACAUCAUCAUACGUUAUACUAUAGCUGUUCAGGCUGACAAACUAAUAGAAUCAAGGCAGGUUAACCACUGUUUGUGAUCAAGAGGUUUAAUCUCUUCAAUUUGAAUCUUGAUUUGUAUUUAAACUAUUUUGUCCUUUUGUUUCCAUAGAGCUUUAGAAUACAUCACAGUACACUCACAUGAUAUAUAUGAUCUCAUAUGAUAUACCAGUCAUCUUCUAUUGUGAUGCAGCUCCAACAGAAGAUGGAUAUGUUUAACGAGAUUGAAAAUUAGAGUAGUCUUUCUUCAUUUAGAUUUGCUGGAUCUUCUAGUUUUUUUGUUUUUGUUUGGUUGUUUUGCAUUAUAGUACUAUGGACUUGGUCUGCAUAAUAUCAUUUGACUCCACUACAAGUGAUUCCCAACAAUUCUGUGUGAUCUCUUUGAUUUUUUACUUAUUGUUUGAUCCCAAUUGUUCCCCUGAAAUAAUGAAUUGAAAGAAGUAAACUUAUAUAUGCCCCUAGAAUUAAAUCAUGCAAAAUUAGUUGAAUUACUGUAUCAACUUUUGCAUUGAAGUGGACUGAGUCAAGUUUUGAAAAUGUGUAGCAUGUUUAAUCCCCUCAUUUUGAAUGUUAUCAAGAUGACACGGUCAUGUGUAUUAUGACAUUUGACUUUCGGUGUUGAAUAUUUGUGUCUGUCGACACUCAUAAAACCCAAUGGCAACUGUCCAUGGUCUCUGAAAUUCUAAAAACUUCGAAAUGAGCAUAAUAUUCUGCAUCUUCUUUUUGCUGUUUUUCACUCAGCAACAGAUGUGAGCAUUAAUACAUGUGAAAUGGUAUUGUUGCGUAAUACAUGUGAGCAUUUUAAAUGCUUGAUUCAUUUCACUUUAAUAAUAAGCCAAAAAUAUGCUUAGCCUGAUGUUUGUUGGUUAUUAAGUUAACAUGUCUUUGUUGUAGGAAAUUUAAAGUAUACACAUGCAAGAGCAAGAGUGAGGACCAAAUGAAGUGGAACCAGUUCUGGGGAUCUUAGAUGUCUUUGGUGCAAGUCACCAUUUCCCCAAGCUAUUGUUUAUUAGAGGCUAUGCCGUAUUUAUGCAUCUCUGUUAGUAUUCUUUUGUUAAUGUAUGACGAUGAAAUGCUGAGAUAAUGUUGAGCAUUCUGUAAACUCACACACAUCUUUAACUCGUUUUCUGUUGAGCAUGGAACAUUGCUUUUAGCACGAUUUGACAAUAGGAUUGUGUUUAAACUGUAUGGUGUGAUUGUUGACAUGUUUGGUUAGCUAGUUACCACUGUGGAUUGUGUAGUUCCUUUGCUAACAAGAACUUUGUUUCGAGUCCUAAAUAAUUGAGCUCUCACACAGGUGGCGGAGGCAAUAUGUGCUUGAGGCAGAACUAUUCGGGUCUUGGAGCCACUGGCUUUGAUCACAUUGAGAUCGAGAAUGCAAGCAGAUACUCUAUUUGUCUGAACUAUGCUAAUUUAGUUGCUGAGACGUGGGUUGUUGGGAGAACACCUACUCAUCCUAUAAAAUGUUGCACUUGAACUUACAAGUAAUGUUGCACUUGAACAGAUAGGUAAUGUUAUAAAAUGAUAGCAUCUGUUAUAGUAUGUGAAACGAUAACCUAUUUGGUUGACAUUUCAUAUAAUAGUAAUCACUAAAUUAUGAUAUUCUGGAAAAAAGAAAAUUUAUGAGUUUGCAAUUACAACCCAAAACAUGGUUUGGAAACCUUCUCCACUGAAUUACUUGCUCGCUGGAGGUCUCUGACGCAAGGGAAUGUAUUUUAGGAAGUGGAGUAGGCCACCGUGGUAGCAUAAUCUGAAAUGUUAUUCCAGUAAAAUCGUGCAUCUCCAUCUUGGAACAUACCCUUGUGUGAAUGUUACACUCGUAACCUGAAUUUUUAUAUUUUGGACCUGUCUUUUUCAUUGUUAGUGCUCUUCCUCUGUUUUUUUCUGUUAGAGACACAAAACAUUUAUUUGAAUCGUUUGGAUCACAACCGAAAUACUGCAUCCAAGUAUAUAGCUUAUCAUACUGUACCCUGUCCAUUAUCGAAUAAUCUUUCCGGUGUCUCUGACCUAGUUCUCCACCGCGUUGCACCGCCAUUUGUUCUAGUUCUUCUUUUGCUAACUCCCAGACAACUAGCUUAGCUCCAUUACCGUCCUCAUUCCUAUCCACCCGCACCAACUGCAGACGUCCACGGUGUGACUGGAGGUGAUAUAAUGAAGGAGGUACAUCUCCAUCUCCAUCUUCAUCAUCAUCUUCAUCUUGAAGUUUAAUAAGAUGAAAUUGAUAUCCCGAAUCACCAUCAGCACUUUCAGCGGCAGUACUAUUAGAACAAUCGGUAGUGCUCUUGUUGUUGAUCAUCAAAGGUCCCAGCCCGAGCAGAUGACCUUCUUUAGCAAUCCAGUAUAGCAUUCCAUUGCUAGCAAAGGCGCCUCUUGGGUGCUCAGGCUGGUGCUCAGGUUUGUCAUAAAUAAGUUGGUAAUAAUCAAACUCUUUUGGACAUUCUACUAGUGACUCUCUCCACGCACCAAUCUCACUAGAGAAGACCUGAAUCUUGAAAAAAUCAUGAUCGUUUUGUACGACCUCGGGAGGAACUAUUCUCACAACCUUGAACUUAGACUCGGCAUUGAUUCUAAUUACCUUCCUUUUUCCUCGUUCUUCCUUUUGAUCAGUACUACUGUCGGCGUGUGUGUCAUCUUCUUCUUCUUCCUUAUAGUACGGCUCACAGAUGAAUCCCACAAUAGGAUCCCAGAACAAACCACAUUCAUGGAUCCAAGGAAGUUUAACAAGUUGCAUCUCUUGCUUGGACGUUCUUGGAUUGCAGAUGUAAUAUUGACCAUCAUCACACUUACAAGAUUGUUCGCAGAUAUGGUGACCGAAUCGGCGAAGAGAUCUGCAGAGAACCAAGUCGUUCCAUGUAGCUAGCACUUCUAAUCUCUCUAUCUUCUCGGUUUCGAAACUCCUAAAUGUUGCAAACAAAUCUUUGGUAAGGAGUUCAUAACCCCACCUGUUUAUAAUAGUACCAGGUAUUAGGGUUUGGUUCUGUCUUUGGAGCCACAAAAAGCGGCCGAUGAAAUCAGGAUCCGACGUGAGUGAGCGCCAACUCUUUGAGACAGACUUGCAUCGAAACACAGAUUUUGCGCAAGGCAGUCGACAAAGGAUUUCAACUAAUAAUUCCUUUGGGAUAUCAUUUAUACCGGUUGAUGAUGCUCUUUCCGGUUCUAAUCGUUUCGACUGCCUCAGGUCAUCAUCAGACGAAGGUUUCGAUGCUUCCCUAUGUUUUAUUUUGUUGUUGCUUGCAGCAUGUGUUGAUGAAAAUCUCUUGGUUCUCUUCGAUUGUCUUAGGUCAUCAUCAGACGAAGGUUCCGAUACUUCCCUAUGUUUUCUUUUGCUGCUGGCUGCAGGAUUUGUGUCACUGGUUGAUGAUAAUCUCCUGGUUUUCUUCGAUUGUCUUAGACAAUUAUCAGAAGAUAUCGAGUCUUCGCUACCUUUUCUUUUGCUGGUUGCAGUAUUGCUAUCAUUGAUUGAUGAUAAUCUCUUAUUUCUCUUCGAUAGGGGUAGGUCAUCAUCAGAUGAAGGUUCGGAUACUUCACUAGUUUUCCUUUUGCUAGUUGCAGGAUUUCUAUCCCCUUUCAUUGAUUUGAAAUCUUGAAACAUAUUCGGUAAGUUCUUCAUAUCAAUGGGAUCACUAGUCGUGUUUAUCUAUAUUAGACUCGCACGUACUGCAACAUAUGGCCGGUAUCUUAUUUUAAAAGGAAAGCUUGAAGAAUCCUAGAUGCACUAGGACAAUAGAAUCCAAAACCAUCAAGGGUUGGUAGGAUUAAUAGAAUCCAAAACCAAAACCAAAACCAAAUCCAACAAUAGAAAGGAUAAACGGAUGGAUUUCCUUCGUGAAGGAUGACAAUUCCAUAUUCCUAAACACUAAAAUUUCACUCGCAAGUCAAAUAGGAUGGUUUUAUCACCCUCUUCCUCUACACUAGUCUAGCUAAAUUAAUACCACUUCUUCGUUCAGUAUUUACUCUUCUCCUUGUCAGUCAUGCUCACAUCAAUCUAGCCGGCGAUGAAAAUCGAUACUGAUUCAGUGAUUCAAGUAAAAGUAAAAGUAAAAGUAAAAGAAAGAGGGCAAAACGUACGACUUCAAAUGAGGUAGGCAACACAAGUAAAGAGAGGAAACCUGCACACAAAAUUAUGAGUUCAAGUGAGAUGUGUACCACAAGUAAAAGGGGGAGGCUUUCCAGUGAUCAGUUCACCAGUUGUGCACCAACACAAGCGCAUCCCCAACCCCAAGGCCAAACUGGCUUGAUCUCCAACCGGACCUCUUGGUUGAUUUUGAACCGUCUUAAACACCUAGAUGAUAUUUUAUUAUUUUUCCUUUGUUUUCUGCAGACAUUUGAGGAGAAGUUUUUUGGUAUUAUCAUCAGGGGCGGAUCCAAGAAUUGAAACUAGGUGCGACUUACUUUCCACCAGAGACAAAAAAAAAAAAAUGACUGUGCGAGUACUGUAAUUUAGAUAUUGAAAUGAAAAAUACACCUAGAGACAUAGGGGAUGUAGUGAGCCUUUACCUCUCAAAAAUGUAUUAUAUAAAACAAUAUUCAUAACUCUCACUACCAGAAGAAAGGUUUUAGCCGACGAAAAUAAAAAAACCAAGCUGACGAAUUAUUUUUUCGUUAGCUAAAGUCCACGUUAGCUGACGAAAUUUCCUUCGUCGGGUAAUUUAAAUUUUCGUUGCAGAUCUGGACAACAACUCAUCGUAUGGGAAAAAAACGGGAGAAAAAGUUUGGGUGUUGUCGAAAUCUGUCCAUAAUUAGUUUGUGAAGCUAUAUAUAGAUACGUAUAUGUGUAUAUAUGUUGAUUUUGAGUUUUAUUUGAGUUGAUCGAUUUUGAGUACAUUGGAUGUAUAUAUGUGUUUGUUGAUCGAUUUGGUUGAUGAUUUGAUAAUAUAUAUGAAGAUAUUGUUAAUAAGUAGUAGAUAUAUAUAUGUUAAUUAAUUUAUAAUAUUGUGUUGAUGGUAUGAAGUUGUUGAUGAUAUGAGUUGAUGAUGAUUUUGUGAUGAUGUUGAUAUAUAAUAUUGUUAUGUAAUUAUUAAGUGUAUAUAUAUAUGUGUGUGUUAAUUAAUUUGUUAUUAAUUAGUUGUAGUACGUAGAAUACUAAAUGAAUUGAGAUUUUAUAUAUGAAAUUUAAUUAAUUAGAGUUAUACAUAUAUAUUUUGUUAUAUUUUCAGGAUAUGAAUAAGAGUUGGAUUUCGCUUUUAAAAUGGGACAAAAGAUUUGGUAAAUGAGUUAUGAGUUUUCUAGAAUAUGCGCUGGCUAAUGCUAACGAGAAUACAAUUUUCUAUUUCUCGUGCACGAAAUGUCAGUGUCUCAGCGAUAUACAUUGAUUUAUGAUUGAAAAAUUAUGACAAACACCUGAAGAGUAACGAGUUUUGAGAAAAGUACACACGUUGGUUAUGAGAUAUGUGUUUCUCCAAAAUAUUUACCAAAAUGUGACAACAUUCAUCGAUCAUGAAUUCAUAAGAAGUUCAAAAUGAGAACUUGAUAUUGAUUUCGGGGCUUAUAUCUCAGCCCGUUAAGGUUGGGUCGUCCUUGCAAACUGACCACCCAAACUAAAAGUCUCAGUCUAUCACUCAGACGCAUUGAACCGGCUGCUCUAUUUAACGCUCCUGUUCGGCGCAUGGAGGUUACCUGCUUCUUGCUUCAACUCCGUCGUCCCCUUCCUCCGCUCUGCUUGAAAUGGAGUCCGGGUAUUUUCGGUGGGUUUAAACUUGUUUGGGUUUGUCUUUAUUCUGUACGGAUUUGUGGGAUUGUGAUCGAUGAUUAGUGAUUGGGUUUAACUUAAUCGUUGUUGAUUGGGGCUACUAAACCUCAUUUCAAUUUGCUUGAUGGGAGGAAAUUGAUUGAUACUAUAUUUUCGUUGGCUUCUGGGCUCUAUAUUGGCAAUGCUCCAGUUCUUAACUAGGACACUUGUGCUAUAAGUUGUAACAAAUCAAAUGUUUUGUCUUUUGCCACCAAGAAAGUAGAAAAAGUUUGUAUUUGAGUUUCGCUGGUUUUAUUUUCGUCGGUUCAUUCUCAAACCUUGAAGAGAAAUUUUGGCUUAGUUUGCUGUCAUCAUUUUUUUGCCUGUUUUGUUUUAACUGAAGUUUCUAACUUUGGGACAUUUGCUUCUCCAAUAAACUUGCUAUAAUGCGAUAACUGUCAUCAGCAUACUUACUGUUUGUUUUUCAGGGGGAAACUCCAUGAUACCUAUGGCUUAUAAGCAGGUUUGUAUGAGCUCAUUAUUACGCACGGGCUAGCAGGACUGCUGUCCUUCCUAUGAAAGCACAACUGUUGAUGGUAAUUCAUAGUACUAUAGUCUACCUAACUACUACUCCAGUAUUGGCAGUUAAGUAUUUGUAAGGUGAUAACAUUGUUGCUAGCUUUCAGAAUUUUGGUUCCAGUUGCUUUGUUCCCUUGUUGCUUACAUAUAUUAUCCUGUAUUAUUCUUGAAAUCCAACUAAACCAUGCCUCUGGAUCGUUUUCAGUGAGUCUACUUCUUUUGACUGCAAUGAUACAAGAAUGUAUACUAUCACAGUAUGUAGUGUUCUGCAAAUUAUGUCAUUGAAAUUGAUAUAUAGAAGCACUUAAGUAUGGUUGCAUGAUCAAACUUAGAUUUGAAGAUGAAGGAUUCAUUUAGUUUCGCAGGAGCAAGAAUUGCUGUGUAUAACCAUGAAGUUGAAUUCAUUGUAAUUUAGACACAAACAUGAAUGUUGUUCAAUGCAAGAUUAAAGAGCAAUAGAGGUAUGAUUUGAAGUAUGGAAAGAUUAGCAUUGGUGUAUUACGUACAAUUUGAUUGUACACCUCUGCUGAAAUUAUAGAAACAUGGUAAAUGCUCCUAAAGUUAGCCAAUACCUGGUUAAGCUCCCUGUCUUAACUCCUUGAACAAAAAUGCUUACGGUAUCUUGUUUUUAUUUAUUUGUGCCUUGCAUUAUAAUUCUGAAGUUAUAAUUUUGAGUAUUACUGGUAGACUUGUCAUGUUGCCAAUCAACAGAGUUCAUUUCCGCAUGUACUUCAUUCGUAAUGGCUUUUUAGCACAAUGAAAUUUUCUACUUGCAUUUUAUCAAUUUGGAUUACAUAUCUUUGACACAUAAGUUUCUCUCAUGUGUCAAUAUAUUCCAAAGGUUGCUGAUCAAGCUGAAGCUGCUAAGUUGAUUGAUCCAACUGAUGUGCCAAUGUAUCAGCCUGUGAAAUAAAACUUCCAAAAGUAUUCCAGCUGCAGCCAUCCCAUAAAAUUCACGAUAGUGAACAGAUGACAUGAUCAGAAAAGUGCCUCGGUAUGUUCACCUUUUUUACCAGUCUUUACUCUUUUGAUUUGAGUCAGUAUCUAGUUGUUGCUUGUUUAUGUCUAGUUACACUUUGAUAUUGGGGUAAUUGGUCUGCAUGAAUUGUUGUGACCCAAUAUGUAAUACCACUCUUCCAUUCGAAGAAAUCAGAUUAUUUUUGUAACAAAUAUUCAUAAACAAAUUAAGGAAAUCAGAUUAGUCUUGAGUGUUGUUUGUCUGGUUGUCUAGUUUAACUGUGACAUUGAUUGGAUUCAUUAUCUCCUAUCUUUUUCUUUGAGAUACAAAUUAAAAUGUAACUAGCAUAAAGGGGGUGAUAUGUUUUUGUUUUUAUCUUUAUGCUUCCUUCAGCUUUUGAUCAUCAGGUGUUACAUGCCUGUUAGGUUUUACCGUCGGCUGAAGUUGAUGAUCCUUAUCGUUGUUGCCUGGUCUGAGUCAGUUUCUGAGUCGCUUCAUUUGGAUCUUCAAGAAUGAGUUUAGUAUUCUUGUUCUUCCAAGAAGUAUUAGCACUCAGAUUAAAUUCUUUACGAUGAAUACUUUAGUCUCUGUGCUCGUUGCAGUACCCCUUUUUUCAUGCUUAUUAUCCUGAAUACAAUUCAUCAAUCCCCUGUUCUGUUGAAUAAGGAUUUAAAGACUAUUCAUGUGCCUAUGUAUACUGUUGAUAUGAGAUAGUGUGUGUAGGAACUUUCAUAAUCUUCUUUUAAUUUCUUCUUUUGGAACAAGUGUUUUAGCUCUGUAAUGCUGGCUUUCAUGUUCUAAUUUGUGAUGAUCAGCAGAUUUGUAUUGACUGCUUCCUUUUCAUGUGCUUUUGACUGAAAAUAUAGAAUUUCCUUUUUCGUAAAACAAAUAUAUAGAAUUUUUGUUAAAUCCCAAAUUAUGUUCUCUUUGGACUGAAUGGAUGCUGUUUCUCCUGCUUCUGUAAAUGUAUGUACGUUUGUUCCAAGUACUUGUGUAUAGUGACCAAAAGGUUGAGAUAUUUACUACUGCUUAGUCAUGUAAUUUGGUUAGUGUUGAUUUCAGCUAGUUGAUGUUAUUGUGAUUGAUGCGUGUUGUAUGAUUAUCCUGGCAUUGCUUCACUUAUAUCAUUUGCCUUGUUACCAAACCAAGGUUGCAUCUUUUGAAUUCAACCAUUAAACUCCAACCAAUAUAAAUGUCAAGCCGAAUUAAACAACCUAUUUUAAAUUUGGAUGACUUGCCCUCCUUUCCAGCUUAAAAAUGCUUGUUAUCAAUUUAUAUUUUAUAUUUUGGGUGGAUGAUCCUGUGGGUUUAGGUACCAAUCGCAAAGUCACUUGAUCUAUAGAUUAGAAGAUUUGUUAUGCUGUUAAAGACAAUAUAUCAAAUAAAUUCUCCCAAUGAAGUUUACUCAUAAUAGAGAUGGUUUGAUUCAACUAGGCGGCUAUUGGGACCUCCAAAUUUGCUCAUUAGACCUCACUAUAUUGUGAAUUAUUAAAUGACAUAUAUAUUCUCAUACACAAUGACUAUUAAGGGCAAUAAUUAUACAAAAGGAAAUAUUAUAUUUAUUCUCUCUAGACUUUCCAAUUCAAUAAUAAUUGAUUACAUUCUUAUUGUUUUCCUUGUAUAUUUUUGUUUUUCAAUUUCUUUUUAUUAAAGCAUAUAUAUAUACAGCCCUUCUCGGCUGCGGAUGUCCGCACCAACGGUUUUGGUGCAAAUUUCCAUUUUUGCACCACUUUCCGAUCGAAUUUCUCAUCUCCACCGUCUAGUAUCUAGAUAAUAUUGUGUAGAUCAUCUCUGUAAAAUUUCAGCCAAUUUGGUGAUUGUUAAGGCCCUCAAACUCGAGUUUUUCUGGUAUGAACACAACCUGNNNNNNNNNNNNNNNNNNNNGGUUGUUCUUUUUCUUUUUUUUUUUUUUUUUUUAUCUGUAUCAGCUUUAGAUUGAUCUUACAUAUCAUAUUGUUAAAUACUGCAUCUUUAUCAGCUUUAGUUUAAUCUUGCAUAUCAUAUUGUCAAAUAUUGCAUCUUUAUCAUGACAUGUUUUAUCGAAUAACUAGUUAUCUAUGUUUAAUAGCUAUUGUACUUCUACAGUUGUACUAGCUUGUGAAUUUUGAAAACUUGUACUGGUGAUUUGGAGUUGGGAUAUAACAGUAAUCAUUUGAUAAUAAAUUGAACGAUGAUAACCAAAAAUUUCUAGCAAAAAUUAGACGAAAUAAUAUGUAAAAAGAGAUACCAAAUAGUAAAUAUAUAUUAAUUAUAUUAAAUAACGAAAUAUUUCAUAAAUUAAGGGCAUUUUAGGUAGUUUGGGAUAUGUAUUAAGUAUAUUACUGAAAUUAAAAACUUGAUAGGUAGUGUAUUAAGUGAGGGGUGUGUAUUAAGAUAUUAAAGGUGUGUAUUUAAAAUUUCUCUAUAUAUAUAUCUAUUGAUUGUAGAAAAUAUAUAUUUAUUAAAAUAAUUUAUUAUGAGGUAUAAAAUAGAGAUCAAAUUAUUCAAAAUAAAAAAACAGAGAAAAAAUAACACACACAAAAGAGAAAAACAAAAGUUAAAAAGAUAUAUAGAAUAGUUCAUGAUAAAACAUUUUCUUGCAUGAAAAAAAUAAUCAAAAAAUAAAGGUAGGGAUAAUGGAUGUUUAAAAAAAAAAGGGUAAAAAAAAAAAAAAACAAAGAAUGAGAGGUCUAUUGAGUGAAUAAGAUGUAAAGUAAGUAAUUUAUUGAAAUCUAUGUUAAUAAAUAACUAAGGUUAUAUUAGGAAUUUGAAAUGAGGUCUAGUGAGAAAAUGUUUAUAUUGAAAAGUAAAAAGGAGGUGUAGAGAGAAUGAGAGGUAUAUUGAGCAAAUUUGGAGGGCCCAAUAGCCGCACUCAAUUGUUGGUUACUCUGAUUUUCGAAACAAACAGAAAAACCAGCUCAAUGUGUAAUCAGAGAUGGUUUGAUUUAACUCACAUGAUUGGGGAUUCUUAACUUAAAUUCAAUCGGUUGAUGGUUUGGAGAGGAUUAGUGUUCAUACUCCUUCCAUAGCAAAUUCUGAUCUGGAUGGUUUUCUAUUAGCUUGCGAUUUCUAGUUGAUUACAAAGAAAAUCGAUUGAUGCAUAAUUGUUGGCUUCUGGCUAUUUUUUGGAGAGUCGUGUUAGAAGUUAUAACAAAUCCAAGGAUGUAUUUGUGUUUCACUGUGAAAGUUUGAGACUCCAAAUCACAUAGGAGAAAGAGCUGAGGACUGCAAUAUAUACGAUUCCAACAUGCUCAUCAAAAUUGGAUAAUGGUUCAUGAUUAUUGUUUUUUUUNUUUUUUUUUUUUUUUCUAUUCUAGUUUCAUGGCAUGUUGUAUCUGUAACCUACAGUUUGGAAGACAUCUCAUGCUCUCAUUAUAAGAGCUUUAGCUUUGCUUUUGGGACAUUUGGUUCUCAAAAAUACUUGCGAAAUGUUAUUGCUAUGUUCAUUGGCAGGGGAAACUCUUGAAAUUGUGUUCUCUGCUUCUUCUUAUGGAUAGACUCCCAUUAAUGCCCACAUUGCCUUUCCGACAGCUUGAGGAUUGGAACCUGAUUAACAAACAUGGUAAUUCCAUAUCUACUAGUAGUGUCAUUUACUGCAUUACCUGGAUUCUGCAGUUAUGUGCAUUUCAUGGGUGAUAAUAUUACAUGUGUUUUUGGUUUGUAACAUAAUUUUCACAAGACUACUAGGUUGGUUCCAAGUUUUGGUUAUUUUGACGGAUCCUACGUCUUUGGGAUCCAUGUUUUUCAUUUUUCAUUAUCAUCAUCAUCAAGAUGAUGACUGAUUGAUUAAUGUUAUAUGAUAUACACAUAUAUGAUGUUGUAUAGAAAUUUAAAGCCCUCGACAAGAUUUGAAAGCCAAAACUUUGUCAGGGCAUGAACUUGCUAGAACUUGUCAUCAAUCCUCAAGCCAAAACAGUCUGUAUCAUAUUGUUUUAGUGGUUUAGUAUUUGCUAAAGUUGUUAACUUGUGGAGUUUUGGACAUUUGGUUCUUCGAUAUUUUUGCCAAUGGAUGUGUGUAUAAUUUUAAACAUCAUUAACUGCAGUCAUCGUGGUACUAUGCUAGUUGUUCUAUGUUAUAGAUAUGAACUAGUUUCAGAUGAAACAUUAACAAAGGAAUUUUUUUUCUAGUUGGAUGGUUGUACAGGUUUAACCCUUGGUCCAAAACUAAGGUCACUUUUUUGUUUUGGUCAAGAUGUGUGGGAAAUUGUUGGUUGGUUGAUUCAGUGAGUUUAGUUCACAUACGAUCUAAUUUGGUAGGCAUAUGUACUGAUGCUUAAUAUUGAUUAGUAUGUUUAGGUGGGAAAGUAAGUAGUUUCAUAAAUUUACAAAAAUUCUCGAACUUCAGCGAAUUUCAUAGCCUCCACUUAACUUUUUCUGCAUCCAACUUUCUUCCCCUCUCUUCCAUACUGUAAAACUUUUUAGCUCCAAUAGGAUGAGAAAAUCCAUGGAAAUUAUAUAUAUUGAAACAGUCUAUUGACAUCAAUUGACUACGUGAAAUAGCUGGCAAGUGGAAAUAUAAACCUCCAUAUGAGAUAUUACCUAGUUUAGGUAAGCCUCACCCUCAAAUGGAUCAAAGAAACUAGACAGUUCUCCUUGCUAGUGAGAAAAGAAAACUGAUUGUUAUCAAUUUAUCUUUUAUAUGUGGGUUCAGUUCAGGUAUCAAUGGGCAAAGUCAUUUGAUUGAUAGACUAGAUGAUUUGUUAAAAACAAAAAUUCUCCCCCACUGUAGUUAAUUUAUUCAUGAUGGUUACAAUAAAUUCAGUGAUUUUUUCUGUUUUAAUUUCAUUUGGACUAGAUGGUUAUGGAGGCCUGUUUCAGCUACAUACACAUCAAGGCUGGUUAUCUAGCUGGGUACUCGUAUGUGAUGGACAAAAAGAUGCUAAAGGCAUCCUAACUGAGAGUGAAGUGAUCAGUUGGCAUGCUCUGGCAAAUGUCUCAAGGUAUUCUUGCCGUUGGGUUUGUAUUCUUACCAGUUUGCUGAAAUCCAGUAAGUGCUCAAUGCUCUAGAAAUAGAAUUGGUUUUUACUGGUUUCAAAAUGUAGGGUCCUCCAAAACUAAGCUCAAUGUUCAUACUUCUUAGGUCAAGAUGCCAUAGGACCCAUUAGCAAUUUAGCUCCAAUGCUUUCCCCAGCUAUUGUGAUUUCAAAAGCAAAUUACAUACAUACUGUCAAGAAAAAAAAAGGAAAAAAAAAAGAAGCAAAUUACAUAAUUAUUUUACAUUCAAGUUCAAUGGGCAAUGACGAGGAUCUCAACAGAGAUUGGAGAAUCCUAGCUAGUAAGAGUGAAGUGAUCAGUUGAAUUGGUCUUGAAUCCUAGCUAGUGGCUACCUACUAAUCACGGGGUGAGAUUAAUUAGAGAACUGUUUGAUAUCAUUUUCACACAUUUUAAAGUAUUAAGCAAGUUUCGGAUCAACUUCCAGUUUUGUAGUUUAAUUACAUAUGAUUAUCUUAUUGGCCGGCAGCAAGUUGAGAUAUUAUAACAUCUGGGUUUGGUGUUUUCUCAAGCAACAGGUUUUAAAUACUUGACAUUUCUGUAUCAUGACAUUUUCUCCAUGUGAAACCGAAGAUUAGGAUCACCUUAUUCAGACAACUAACUCAUUUAAAAUAACUUCUAUGGCCAAGUUGUUAGUUACGUAUGUCAUGGUUGUUAACAACUUCUUUUGGGUUAAAUAAUUUCCACAAGCUUUUACCUUUGGUGGGUUCCAAUGAGGCAAUGACCUGCAAUAGGAGACAGUAUUGGCUCUCUAGCUUUGUUGUUUCCAGUGAAUUGAGCAGGAAAAGUUGAUGUAAAUAUUGAUGAUACAUAUCGGUGGGAAGUUUCCAGUGAAUUGUGUCGGAAGUUGCUGUAAAUAUCCAUGGGUAGUUUCAAUGAUAUUGUCAAGAAAUAUUGCUAGUAAGAAAGAUAGUGAGUGGGACAUGAACGGGAUUUAUUGAAAUUUGAAUGCUUCAGACUUUAGUUUAAAUUAAGAACUAUUUACACAGAGACUUUAGUUUUCCAGUCAUAAAAAGAGUAGACUGAUACCAACUGCCACGAAAGACUCCUCUCUUUUCUCCGUUCAAACUAUCUCUGUGUCUUCCAUUUUCUCCAUUUUUUGUGUUAUCACGCGCUCUUGUUUGAACAGAAAGGCUUUACAUAGAUUUGUUCACUAUUGGAGUUCUGCAGCCUAGCUCUCCUGUCGACCUGUAAUAGCCGAAGAUAAUGGAUUUCGAUUUCUUCGAGGUUAGAAACAUAAGUAUUUCAUAAGUUUUACCCUGCAAUAUUUGUGAAUGUUUUGUGUUCGUUCUUCGUUGGUUUUAACUCCCUUUUGUUCUUCUUCUGUAUGUUUGCAUAUUACAAAAAGAUAUCGUUGGCGAUUGUUGCGGUAAUUGUGACAUGGACUCAAGUAAAGCGUCGGAUAAGUUACACGGUUGGAAAGUCGCAGGAUAAUCAAGUUGUGGUUGACAUGGAGGCCUCUGCAUCUCUUCCUUCUUCAUCGUCAGCAGUACUUGAAUGCAAGUAUGAUGUGUUUUUGAGUUUCAGGGGUCCUGACACUCGCAAAGGCAUUACAGCCCAAAUACGCGAUCGACUUCGUAGAAGUGGCAUUAUAACGUUCAUGGAUGAACCAGAUCUUAGAGUAGGGGUUACCAUUUCGCCCACUCUCAUAAAGGCAAUUAAAGAGUCGAGGUUUGCAAUCGUAAUUCUCUCACAAAAUUAUGCUUCUUCUAUUUGGUGUUUGGAGGAACUUGGAGAGAUUUGUCUGUCCAAGGAAGACAACAGAAUUUUGCCACUUUUUUUUGAAGUUGAUCCUACUGAUGUUCGACAUCAGAAGAAGAGUUUCGAAGAAGCUUUCUCUAAGCAUGAAACCUCUGGCCGACAUGAAUCAGACAAGUUGAAUCAAUGGAGGGCUGCCUUAAGCAGAAUGGCCAAGAUCUCAGGGUGGAACACAAGUGAUUAUAAGUAAGCAUUGUGCCUUCAAUUUCAAUUCUAUAUGUUUUACCUAACACUUAACUUUUAAUCCUUAUAUCUCUUAAAUUUUUCCUUGUAGGACUCACGAAGAACUUGUUGACAACAUUGUGGAAUCUCUCCGCAGUAAAGUACCAGCUGAUGCAAUUGAAUUCACAAAUGAUUUCCAAGCAUUUGGAGCAACAAAAGAAGCGACAAACAAGGUUAUGAAGGCGCUAACAGAUGACAAGAUUACUGCCGUUGGUGUCUAUGGAAUGGGCGGCGUUGGAAAGACAAGCAUGGUGAGACAUGUGGCUGCACAAGCCUGCAGAAAUGGUACUUUUAACCAUUGGAUUAUUGCUGUCGUAUCCCAAAACCUUGACUUGAAAAUAGUUCAAGGUACAUUGGCAGAUUCGUUGGGCUUUAAAUUCGUGGAGGAGACACAAGCUGGAAGAGCUGAUAGGUUGCAUAAGGAGAUAAUGGGAAAAGAAAAGCUCCUUAUAAUCUUGGACGAUGUAUGGGAGAGAACCGAGUUGUCAAAGAUAGGGAUUCCCACCUACAAUGAGCUUGAAAAGUGCAAGUCCAAAGUGCUACUCACCACCAGGAGAUUGAAUGUCUGUAAUGCCAUGAAGUGCCAUGAAAAGAUCAGCCUCAAAGUUCUCUCAGAACAAGAUUCUUGGACCUUGUUCGUGAGAAAUGCAGGAACAAUUUCUUUUGAGCCUACCUCAUUUGAGAAAGUGGCAAGGAGGGUAGCUUUAGAGUGUAAGGGUCUACCGAUUGCAUUGAUAGCUGUUGCAAGGGCACUCAGAGAUGAGGACCAGGAGGAAUGGGAGAAGGCAGCUGAACGACUAGAGCAGUCGCAAUAUGUCAAUCCCAACCAUGAGAAAGAU